CAGCCGCCGCGGGAAAACGAAGGGGGCUAGCGUUGCUCGGAUUUACUGGGCGUAAAGGGCGCGUAGGCGGACAGUUAAGUUGGGGGUGAAAGCCCGGGGCUCAACCUCGGAAUUGCCUUCAAUACUGGCUGUCUUGAGUGUGAGAGAGGUGUGUGGAACUCCGAGUGUAGAGGUGAAAUUCGUAGAUAUUGGGAAGAACACCGGUGGCGAAGGCGGCAACCUGGUCCUUGACUGACGCUGAGGCGCGAAAGCGUGGGGAGCAAACAGGAUUAGAUACCCCCGUAGUCCCUGUCUCUUAUAC
rnacentral:rRNA from 1 species